UUCAGAUCGAGGGGCAGAGUGGCACCGGCAGUCGCAGCAGCCCACCAUCACCAAGAACCUCAACUUCAUCAAAGUGUUCCUCACUGCCUGCAGCAUCUCUCUCAUGACAUACGUGACCACACCUGCCUCCAAACCCCCGUCGACGCCCCCCCGGAGGGCCAGGUGCUUACAGCCAGGGCUCUUUCCUCACUGACGGCCGAGGAUCUGCUCAACGCAAACGCUGUGGGCGGGUCGACGGGGGUCCUGGGGGGCCGCUCGUGGUGAGACAGAUGACCUCACGCUGAAGAGAGUCGCCACCAACUACAAGAGUCUGGAUGGCUUUAAGGAGGUCUGUCUGUCGGUUCAGUGUGAGGACGUGUUGGUGCGGACGGGUCUGAGGGACAGAAGUGCGGUGUUUGUGGGUCCGUUCUCCUGCAGUGCGGAUCUGGAGGCUCAUUGGUGCAGACACAGUGGAAGCUCCGCCCCUGACUCACCUGGACCACCGAGAGUGUUGAUUGAUCUGAAGGGAGGCCCUCUGCAGGUAAGAUGUCAAACACUGCUGCUGCUUCUUACUCACUUAAACAUUCAGUGUCUCUCCACAUGUGUGAUGUACAGUAUGUGGUUUUUUUGGCUGCAUGUGUCUCUCUGUCCUUAUAACGCUUCAUGUGCAGCCAUGCACUCUGAGUGCAGCCACUGAACACGCAGAAAUCCCCUAAUGUUCCUGUUCAAUCUGUUAGUCAGAGACACAUGGACUCAAUCUGAGUCAGAGAUUCCAGCUGAUUCAGGCCAAAUACACACAAACACACACACACAGAGACGAUUCACUAGCCUUGAGACAUUUGAUUCUCUUAUUAAUGCAACUGUUUUGCAUUAAAUGCAGCCAGAGUUUCAAUCAUGGUGCAGUUUGGGUAGAAAUUUGAGGUUGACCGAUUUUACUGAUACCGAUAGCUAGGGUGGAUCACACUGGCCGAUACCGAUCAAUCAACUGAUUCUUUUUAUAAUGAAUUUUGAAUGAAAACUAAAAUAGUGCUUUACAAUUUCUUUUUAAAUUGUACUUUGUAAAUGAAUAUAAAAUAUUAAUAUUAAUUAUUAUAUUGAUCAUUAAAGUUCAUAGUUCGUUAACUAAUGUUAACAGAAGAAACUAACAUUUAAAAAUGUAUUAGUAUGUAUUAGUAACAGUGAAUGUUAAAAUAAACACACUAACAAGGAACAAUACUUUUAUUGCUUUCAUUAAUCUUAGUGUUACAAAUGUAUUGUAAAGUGUUACCGUUUAAUUUCAACAGUCAUGCAUCUUUAAAUAUCCACACAAG
rnacentral:lncRNA from 12 species